rnacentral:rRNA from 1 species
AUGGCAUUGCCCGGUAGCUAAAUGCGGAAGAGAUAAGUGCUGAAAGCAUCUAAGCACGAAACUUGCCCCGAGAUGAGUUCUCCCUGAGACUUUAAGUCUCCUGAAGGAACGUUGAAGACGACGACGUUGAUAGGUCGGGUGUGUAAGCGCAGCGAUGCGUUGAGCUAACCGAUACUAAUGAACCGUGAGGCUUAACCUU